UGGAUGCCUCUUAAGUCUGUUCUCUGGGGAGGCAGUAAGGGGCCGUGGAGCUGGCCUCGGCCUCGGCAUCGGGAGAGGCUGGACUUCCUGUCUCUCUGUGCUGAAUGGCUGCGAUGGCGCCCGCUCUCACUGACGCAGCAGCUGAAGCACACCAUAUCCGGUUCAAACUGGCUCCCCCAUCCUCUACCUUGUCCCCUGGCAGUGCCGAAAAUAACGGCAACGCCAACAUCCUUAUUGCUGCCAACGGAACCAAAAGAAAAGCCAUUGCUGCAGAGGAUCCCAGCCUAGAUUUCCGAAAUAAUCCUACCAAGGAAGACUUGGGAAAGCUGCAACCACUGGUGGCAUCUUAUCUCUGCUCUGAUGUAACAUCUGUUCCCUCAAAGGAGUCUUUGAAGUUGCAAGGGGUCUUCAGCAAGCAGACAGUCCUUAAAUCUCAUCCUCUCUUAUCUCAGUCCUAUGAACUCCGAGCUGAGCUGUUGGGGAGACAGCCAGUUUUGGAGUUUUCCUUAGAAAAUCUUAGAACCAUGAAUACGAGUGGUCAGACAGCUCUGCCAAAAGCACCUGUAAAUGGGUUGGCUAAGAAAUUGACUAAAAGUUCAACACAUUCUGAUCAUGACAAUUCCACUUCCCUCAAUGAGGGAAAACGGGCUCUCACUUCAUCUGCUCUUCAUGGGGGUGAAAUGGGAGGAUCUGAAUCUGGGGACUUGAAGGGGGGUAUGACCAAUUGCACUCUUCCACAUAGAAGCCUUGAUGUAGAACACACAACUUUGUAUAGCAAUAAUAGCACUGCAAACAAAUCUUCUGUCAAUUCCAUGGAACAGCCGGCACUUCAAGGAAGCAGUAGGUUAUCACCUGGUACAGACUCCAGCUCUAACUUGGGGGGUGUCAAAUUAGAGGGUAAAAAGUCUCCCCUGUCUUCCAUACUUUUCAGUGCUUUAGAUUCUGACACAAGGAUAACAGCUUUACUGCGGCGACAGGCUGACAUUGAGAGCCGUGCCCGCAGAUUACAAAAGCGCUUACAGGUUGUGCAAGCCAAGCAGGUUGAGAGGCAUAUACAACAUCAGCUGGGUGGAUUUUUGGAGAAGACUUUGAGCAAACUGCCAAACUUGGAAUCCUUGAGACCACGGAGCCAGUUGAUGCUGACUCGAAAGGCUGAAGCUGCCUUGAGAAAAGCUGCCAGUGAGACCACCACUUCAGAGGGACUUAGCAACUUUCUGAAAAGCAAUUCAAUUUCAGAAGAAUUGGAGAGAUUUACAGCUAGUGGCAUAGCCAACUUGAGGUGCAGUGAACAGGCAUUUGAUUCAGAUGUCACUGACAGUAGUUCAGGAGGGGAGUCUGAUAUUGAAGAGGAAGAACUGACCAGAGCUGAUCCCGAGCAGCGCCAUGUACCCCUGUGAGUAGACCUCAUGCAUGAUAGCAUUCUUGAUAAAUGUUGGCACAAGGAAGAAUGAAUGAAUCCCCUUUAUGGAGAGAAUGUGAUUCUUUGUAGAUAGGAGUCUAGGUUCCAUUUGUUUUUUCCCUGAUGUUGGGUAGGUGAGUGCGUAUAUAUGCUAGUGAAGAAAGGGAAGAUAUUUUUGCUGUAGUGUUGUGUCGUUGUAGUCUAAAUGGUGGUAAUUUCCUUUUGAAGUCUUACUAAGGAAAAUAACUAGGAGACAUCUUAUGUGUAAAAUUGUACUAGUACCUCUCUAAGAGUGAAUUUAGAUUUCUUUUGAAACUAUAUAUAGGAAAUGAUAAGUUAAUGGCCUGAUUGUUGAGAUUUUGUUGUUUCCAGUAAGCAGGGACAAAUGCUGAGUUGACCUAGUUACCUUUGUAGGAAAUUACAGUUGCUUUUGAUUGAACUUGCAGCAGAGAGCAUACCCAGUCUUCAAUUUUAACACUUGAGAUUUUCUUACAUUUUAAGGACUGACAAUUAGAAAAUGCUUCAGAAUAUUUAAUACAUUGCCUCCAAGCACAGUCCACUUUCACAACCUGACUC
rnacentral:sRNA from 1 species